rnacentral:rRNA from 1 species
GAUUCUGCCGGACCCGACUGCUAUCAGAGUGGGACWAAGCCAUGCGAGUCAACAUAGCAAUAUGUGGCAUACGGCUCAGUAACACGUAGUCAACAUGCCCAGGGGACGUGGAUAACCUCGGGAAACUGAGGAUAAACCGCGAUAAGUCACUACUUCUGGAAUGGGUAAUGACUCAAAUCUACAUGGCCCCUGGAUUGGACUGCGGCCGAUCAGGCUGUUGGUGAGGUAAUGGCCCACCAAACCUGUAACCGGUACGGGCUCUGAGAGGAGGAGCCCGGAGAUGGGCACUGAGACAAGGGCCCAGGCCCUAUGGGGCGCAGCAGGCGCGAAACCUCUGCAAUAGGCGAAAGCCUGACAGGGUUACUCUGAGUGAUUUCCGUUAAGGAGAUCUUUUGGCACCUCUAAAAAUGGUGCAGAAUAAGGGGUGGGCAAGUCUGGUGUCAGCCGCCGCGGUAAUACCAGCACCCCGAGUGGUCGGGACGUUUAUUGGGCCUAAAGCAUCCGUAGCCGGUUCUACAAGUCUUCCGUUAAAUCCACCUGCUUAACAGAUGGGCUGCGGAAGAUACUAUAGAGCUAGGAGGCGGGAGAGGCAAGCGGUACUCGAUGGGUAGGGGUAAAAUCCGUUGAUCCAUUGAAGACCACCAGUGGCGAAGGCGGCUUGCCAGAACGCGCUCGACGGUGAGGGAUGAAAGCUGGGGGAGCAAACCGGAUUAGAUACCCGGGUAGUCCCAGCUGUAAACGAUGCAGACUCGGUGAUGAGUUGGCUUCUUGCCAACUCAGUGCCGCAGGGAAGCCGUUAAGUUUGCCGCCUGGGGAGUACGGUCGCAAGACUGAAACUUAAAGGAAUUGGCGGGGGAGCACCACAAGGGGUGAAGCCUGCGGUUCAAUUGGAGUCAA